CAUGCUAGAGCACUUUUUCAAUGUGCUCCCCAACGAGAAGGCAACGACGCAUUCGUAUGUCAAUCCAUAUCAACUUUCGAUGCCAUUGACUGCGCCUACCAUGGUGACCACGGGUAAUGGGGAAUCAGGGUUCGAUUCCAUACAGGGACCCUGACAAACGGCUACCACAUGCAAGGAAGGCAG